CCUACGGGAGGCAGCAGUGAGGAAUAUUGGUCAAUGGACGAGAGUCUGAACCAGCCAAGUAGCGUGAAGGAUGACUGCCCUAUGGGUUGUAAACUUCUUUUAUAAAGGAAUAAAACGAGGCACGUGUGCCUUUUUGCAUGUACUUUAUGAAUAAGGAUCGGCUAACUCCGUGCCAGCAGCCGCGGUAAUACGGAGGAUCCGAGCGUUAUCCGGAUUUAUUGGGUUUAACGGGAGCGUAGAUGGGUUGUUAAGUCAGUGGUGAAAGUUUGCGGCUCAACCGUAAAAUUGCAAUUGAUACUGGCAGUCGUGAGUACAGUUGAGGUAGGCGGAAUUCGUGGUGUAGCGGUGAAAUGCUUAGAUAUCACGAAGAACCCCGAUUGCGAAGGCAGCUUACUAAACUGUGACUGACAUUGAUGCUCGAAAGUGUGGGUAUCAAACAGGAUUAGAUACCCCUGUAGUC
rnacentral:rRNA from 1 species